GCACGAUUCCCCUUGUCUGAGAAAUAGUUAAGAUGGUAAAUUUCAUCACAUUGAAAAAUAUUGAGGCAGAGAAAAGAUUCCUGCCAAGAGUGCCGAGGUUCGCCAUUGCCAAGACACGAUCCCUUCUGACUGCGGACACGCCGGGCAGCGCUGAGGGCAGCUGAAGCCAUCAGAACUAGCUCAUCGAGGUCAACCAAAAGCCAACUAACCAAACAAACCCUGGGGGGUUCUGAUUGUAAAUACACUCAUCUGUAAAUCAAUUUGGAGAGAAUUGACAUCUUUACAAUGCUGAAGCUUCAAGCCAUGGACCUGGUGUAACCUCCAUUUAUUUCAGUUUUCUUUAGUUGCUCUCAAGGAUGUUUGACAGUUUUCUAGAAGUAUGCUAGGGCGUUGGUCCCUCAGCCUUUGGUAGUCUGGGCAGAGCCUGGGCAGCCAGCCUGGCCCGAGGCAGAUCACUCCAGCCUUGGACAGACGGGCAGAUGUUGACCCUAGUGAAUUAUACAACUAUCAUCAACUUCUCUGUGGGAAAAUGUUGGGAAGCAUUGAGAGGUCUUUCCAGUUUUCUGUUCCUGACCAUUUGCACAAACCUCUGUGCUGUGCGUGGGCAAGAAUGCCACCAAGUGUCCUGAACUCCCGAGCUGCCCAAUGUGUACUUGUAGCCCGCUCACUUCACCAGCCUAUCGGUACCCUGUGUGCCCAUAAACUAAGAGGGCUUGUUCUGGCAAAAACAUUAAUAAUGCGGCUGUGUGCUGAGCACUCUCUGGUUCUGGGGGAUGUACAAACGCCUUCUUAGGGCUUCAAGGAGCACCGUGAGGUCGUUAGUCUGACCUGUAUUUUACAGAAGAACACCUAGAGCUUUGAGAGGCAAAGUGACUGCGAAAUGGUAGAACUGCUUCCUCAAACAUGACGGACUAGAUCCUCUGAAAACCCUUCCUCUACAAAGUUUGUAGAAAUACUGGGUGAAACACAGAAAAACAUUUUUAAAAAUAGAUAGUUGAACUUGGGAGAA